AAGAGUUAGGGUGCUAGACGCCCGACCUCCAACCCUUUGUUUCCAAAACCUCGUUGCCUCGGGGGUGGCCCUGCCCUGAGCGGGCCCCCCGGAGGACCACUAAAACUCUGCAUCUUUAUGACGUCUGAGCGAUUUUUUAAAUAAGUCA
rnacentral:misc_RNA from 1 species